rnacentral:lncRNA from 1 species
GAGGAUGGGAAGAUGAGAAGUGCUUGUCGCAGGCCUGGAGAUGGGGACCACCCAGGCAUGCAGGGGAUGCUGCCUCUCCUCCAUCCAACAACAAGCCUGCGUGUGCCCAGCCCCCUCUGGUACACGCAUUGCUCCCCAUCCUCGGCAUUGAUCAAUUGAAAAUAAGACCUUGGAAGAACCCCUUGCAAAGCUGACAUUGUACGAGCCAAGGCAGUGAGCCUCACAGGGUCAGGGGGAAGACAGGGGAUCCCGAAGAUAACGUCUGCUACGAACUCAAUUGCAUCCGCCCCGGGCCCUAAGUUGAAGCCCUAAUCCCCACGUUGACUGCAUUUGGAGAAGGACCUUCAGCACAUGAUGGAGGUGGCCCCGGAGAGGGUCAGCGAGGGGCCUCCACUGUCUGAGUCCGCUCCUGGCAACGCCUGCUCUCUGCACUCAGAGGCCCGGUCCCGGCAGCUGCCACGUUGCUCAGAAGUUCUGGCAGGGGGAGCCUGAAACCCCUGUCUGCUGGCGACACUCCCGGAGCAGCAGGAAAUCUCUACAUUUUAUUUUUUUUCUUAACAGACAAAAGUAUUUGACUCCAGAAUGAUUUCCAGGAAUUACAGUAUGAGAACUUAGUCUUUGAGAUUUUUAUUUUCUUCUUAAAAAAAUAAAAAUGAAAUCAAAGCAGAAGACA